UAUUAUGAGAGUUUGAUCCUGGCUCAGGACGAACGCUGGCGGCGUGCCUAAUACAUGCAAGUCGAACGCUUUUUCUUUCACCGGAGCUUGCUCCA
rnacentral:ncRNA from 1 species